AGGUGAUCCAACCGCAGGUUCCCCUACGGUUACCUUGUUACGACUUCACCCCACGUCAUGAAUCACAAAGUGGUAAGCGCCCUCCCGAAGGUUAAGCUACCUACUUCUUUUGCAACCCACUCCCAUGGUGUGACGGGCGGUGUGUACAAGGCCCGGGAACGUAUUCACCGUGGCAUUCUGAUCCACGAUUACUAGCGAUUCCGACUUCAUGGAGUCGAGUUGCAGACUCCAAUCCGGACUACGACGCACUUUAUGAGGUCCGCUUGCUCUCGCGAGGUCGCUUCUCUUUGUAUGCGCCAUUGUAGCACGUGUGUAGCCCUGGUCGUAAGGGCCAUGAUGACUUGACGUCAUCCCCACCUUCCUCCAGUUUAUCACUGGCAGUCUCCUUUGAGUUCCCGGCCGGACCGCUGGCAACAAAGGAUAAGGGUUGCGCUCGUUGCGGGACUUAACCCAACAUUUCACAACACGAGCUGACGACAGCCAUGCAGCACCUGUCUCACGGCUCCCGAAGGCACAUUCUCAUCUCUGAAAACUUCCGUGGAUGUCAAGACCAGGUAAGGUUCUUCGCGUUGCAUCGAAUUAAACCACAUGCUCCACCGCUUGUGCGGGCCCCCGUCAAUUCAUUUGAGUUUUAACCUUGCGGCCGUACUCCCCAGGCGGUCGACUUAACGCGUUAGCUCCGGAAGCCACGCCUCAAGGGCACAACCUCCAAGUCGACAUCGUUUACGGCGUGGACUACCAGGGUAUCUAAUCCUGUUUGCUCCCCACGCUUUCGCACCUGAGCGUCAGUCUUCGUCCAGGGGGCCGCCUUCGCCACCGGUAUUCCUCCAGAUCUCUACGCAUUUCACCGCUACACCUGGAAUUCUACCCCCCUCUACGAGACUCAAGCUUGCCAGUAUCAGAUGCAGUUCCCAGGUUGAGCCCGGGGAUUUCACAUCUGACUUAACAAACCGCCUGCGUGCGCUUUACGCCCAGUAAUUCCGAUUAACGCUUGCACCCUCCGUAUUACCGCGGCUGCUGGCACGGAGUUAGCCGGUGCUUCUUCUGCGGGUAACGUCAAUGAGCAAAGGUAUUAACUUUACUCCCUUCCUCCCCGCUGAAAGUACUUUACAACCCGAAGGCCUUCUUCAUACACGCGGCAUGGCUGCAUCAGGCUUGCGCCCAUUGUGCAAUAUUCCCCACUGCUGCCUCCCGUAGGAGUCUGGACCGUGUCUCAGUUCCAGUGUGGCUGGUCAUCCUCUCAGACCAGCUAGGGAUCGUCGCCUAGGUGAGCCGUUACCCCACCUACUAGCUAAUCCCAUCUGGGCACAUCCGAUGGCAAGAGGCCCGAAGGUCCCCCUCUUUGGUCUUGCGACGUUAUGCGGUAUUAGCUACCGUUUCCAGUAGUUAUCCCCCUCCCAUCAGGCAGUUUCCCACGACAUUACUUCACCCGUCCGCCACUCGUCAGCGAAACAGCAAGCUGUUUCCUGUUACCGUUCGACUUGCAUGUGUUAGGCCUGCCGCCAGCGUUCAAUCUGAGCCAUGAUCAAACUCU
rnacentral:rRNA from 1 species